rnacentral:rRNA from 1 species
AGUGAACGCUGGCGGCGUGCCUAAUACAUGCAAGUCGAACGGAUUGGCUCAUGGGUGCGUGAUGUAUAGCUCAUCUGCCCUCCACUAGCGGACAACAGUUGGAAACGGCUGCUAAUACUCUAUAGUGUCGGAUGAGGCUAUAUUGGAUCAUCUAGUUGGUGAGGUAAUGGAUGACAAAGGCUAUGAAGCAUAACGGGUCUGAGAGGAUGAUCAGUCACACUCGAACUGAGACACGGUCGAGACUCUGACGGGAGGCAGCAGAAGGGAAUAUGGCUCAAUGGGGGAAACCCUGAAGCAGCAACGCCGCGUGGAGGAUGAAACUUUUAGGAGUGUAAACGACUUUUGUUAGGGAAGCGGUACCUAACGAAUAAGCACCGGCUAACUCCGUGCCAGCAGCCGCGGUAAUAC